AGCCGCGGCGUCAGAGCGCCGUAGGGUGCGCGGUCACGUGGGCACGCUGGUCACGUGGCGUGCGCUGUAGUCAGCUGAGGGUCAUGUGGGUGGGGCCCCGCUCCGGCGCCCCCAGCUGAGCUCGGCUCAUUUGGCUCAAGAUGCGCGACGGAAAGGGCGCUUCGCGGGCCCCGGUGCUCCGGUUCACCAACUGCCGCAUCCUGCGGGGCCGAAGGCUGCUCAGGGAGGAUCUGUGGGUGCGCGACGGCCGCAUUCUGGACCCAGAGAAGCUCUUCUUUGAGGAGCGGCUCGUAGCCGACCAGCAGCGGGACUGCGGGGGCUGCAUCCUGGCGCCCGGCUUCAUUGACGUGCAGAUCAACGGUGGAUUUGGCGUUGACUUCUCUCAGGCCACAGAGGAUGUGGGUUCGGGAGUAGCCCUGGUAGCCCAGAGGAUCCUGUCGCACGGAGUCACCUCUUUCUGUCCCACCUUAGUCACUUCGCCACCAGAGGUUUAUCACAAGGUCCUUCCUCAGAUCCCUGUGAAGAGUGGUGGUCCCCAUGGGGCAGGGGUCCUCGGUGUGCACCUGGAGGGCCCGUUUAUCAGCCGGGAGAAGCGGGGUGCACACCCCGAGGCCUACCUGCGCUCUUUUGAGGCCAAUGCCUUCCACGAUGUUCUGGCCACCUACGGGUCCCUGGACAACGUUCGCAUUGUGACGCUGGCGCCUGAGUUGGGCAGUAGCCAUGAGGUGAUCCGGGCACUGACGGCGCGUGGCAUCUGUGUGUCCCUAGGGCACUCCGUGGCUGACCUGCAGGUUGCCGAGGAAGCCGUGCAGAGCGGGGCUACCUUCAUCACCCACCUCUUCAACGCCAUGCUGCCUUUCCACCACCGGGACCCUGGCAUCGUGGGGCUCCUGACGAGUGACCGGCUGCCCCCCGGCCGCCACAUCUUCUAUGGAAUGAUCUCCGAUGGCAUACACACCAACCCCGCAGCCCUGCGCAUCGCCCACCGGGCCCAUCCCCAGGAAGAGCCCCUUAGCCCCUCUGGUGGGAUGCAAGAACCUAGGUGUCCCCAGCCAACCCACACCCCAUCCAGUGUGCCUGGUGGCCCCUGCCCUCCACCCCCCAGAGCCUGCCCUCUCUGCUCUCAAGGCACCAAGACACUGAGCGGCAGCAUAGCUCCGAUGGACGUCUGCAUUCGGCAUUUCCUGCAGGCCACAGGCUGCAGUGUGGAGUCGGCCCUGGAGGCUGCGUCACUGCACCCCGCCCAGCUACUGGGACUGGAGAAGCUCAAGGGAACCCUGGACUUUGGAGCUGAUGCAGACUUCGUGGUGCUCGACGACUCCCUCCACGUUCAGGCCACCUACAUCUCAGGAGAGUUGGUGUGGCAGGCCGAGGAGGCCAGGCAGUGACCUGGGACCGCAGCUGGAAAGGACACCCAGCCUCACCCGGACACUGACAAUACUGGGCUGCUGAGGAGCUGGUCUCCGAGGAGUGAAUGGGAACCCUGCCCCAGUUUCUCACAGCCUUGACCAGGAAGAAGCGGCAGACAUCACCAACUACAAAUGAGGAAACGGAGGCCCAGAGACCAGAUGCUUGUCCCAGGCACCAGAUGCACACAGCAGGGAUGGGACCUCACACAGCCAACAGGCCGCACACGUGCACGAGUGUCAGCUGGUUCUGACUUCGUUUUCCCUACAGGGGACCCCACAGUGCCCUGUGUGCACCGAGAUCUGAAACCCUCCAGCACGCUCGGGGAAUAAAGGAAAAACAGGGCUCCACGUAGAGACGAGGGAGCAUAUGUCAGGGCUCCAGGUCAUUCCGACCCUCAGCACUGCCCCUGGACACCUACCCUGGAAACAAAACCCUCAGACAUCAGGACCCUGACCCCAGGUUGCCUCCCCAGCUGCAGGCAGACACUGCUCAGUGUAGCUUUGAAUUGAGGAUGACACACACGACUCAAAUGAGGCUCCCAGAAGCAGAGGCCCCCACCAAGAGCCUCCUGAGGAGGCUCCUGGAACAACUGUGCCUCAGAUUAUCGGAGGGAGUGCCACCAAGCUCCAGGAACAUGGAGAUGGUUCACAGGGCCCCAUUCAGUUCAGCAGGACCCGACCCAUUUAGAGACCAUCACCCGAGGGGGGAGGACAGUCGUGAGCAGAAAGCCAUGGUGGACCUGCCACCUGCUCAGGUCACAGCUCUAUGAACAUUUACGUCACAAGGCAAGGGGACAUCCAUCUGUCCGGUUUUAUCAGGUACUUCCCUCCCGAGAGACAUCUCAGGUACAAAGCUCCUGCACGUAAAUCCCCUGCAAAUAUCAUGUGACUAUGAGUGUGGGUGUUUAACAUAUAACUGUUGGCAUUAGAAAAUCAACUAGAGACGGAAACAGGUGGGAAUCAUGGCCCCCCUGGGGCAGGGACCAGUUGUAAGAACCCAGGGGCCUUGGCUGCAAACACUCUGUGGGGGCUCUGCCAGCCUGGGAAUGGGCCUCCUCAGGGCCAGAGUCUCCAGUCCCCCUGGGCACCAGCCACUCUGAGGUAGAAGGCAGGACACUGCAGACAGGACACCAGCCAGGGGUUCAUACCUGGCCCACUGCUCUCUCGAGGCACCUGAGCCCUCACCACCAGCUGUCUCCACGGCCACCGCCCUGCGGGCUCCCAGGUGGCCUCUGCUCUCUUCCUGCACUUGGCCCUGCUGGCGGAUCCAGUGCAGAGUCCACCCUUCUUCGCUCUGGGACGGAAGGGCAGGCCUGUGGCUCCUCUGCUCCCUAACCCCCGCCUAAACUUUUGUAUAGAAAACUGUAUAAAAAUUAUGUGUUCUAUUUAAUUCUUAUACUUUUGGGCUUGUAAGUGGCUUUUGGUACUUCUCACAAUAAAAAAAAUUUUUGAAGAUAUCAAAACAAA